rnacentral:rRNA from 1 species
UACGUAGGGGGCAAGCGUUGUCCGGAAUUAUUGGGCGUAAAGAGCGUGUAGGCGGCCAGAUAGGUCCGUUGUGAAAACUGGAGGCUUAACCUCCAGCGGUCGAUGGAAACCAUUUGGCUAGAGUCCGGAAGAGGAAAGUGGAAUUCCUGGUGUAGCGGUGAAAUGCGUAGAUAUCAGGAGGAACACCGGUGGUGUAGACGGCUUUCUGGACCGUAACUGACGCUGAGACACGAAAGCGUGGGUAGCAAACAGG